AAUCAAGUGUCUUAAGGGCAAUUGGUGGAUGCCUUGGCAUGCACAGGCGAUGAAGGACGUGAUACGCUGCGAUAAGCCACGGGGAGGUGCGAAUACCCUUUGAUCCGUGGAUUUCCGAAUGGGGAAACCCACCUAAGAUACUUGGAAAAUCAGAGCGGCAGCGCGGUUUCGACCGGGCUGCCGCUGUGGUUUCCAAGUAUCGCAUUUAGGUAUCUUAAUCCUGAAUACAUAGGGAUAAGAGGCGAACGCGGGGAACUGAAACAUCUAAGUACCCGUAGGAAAGGACAUCAACCGAGACUCCGCUAGUAGUGGCGAGCGAACGCGGACCAGGCCAGUGGCUUGCAUGAGACAAGUGGAACCUUCUGGAAAGGAGGGCCAUAGUGGGUGAUAGCCCCGUACACGUAAUGCGAAUGCAAGUCCUCGAGUAGGGCGGGACACGUGAAAUCCUGUCUGAAAUUGGGGGGACCACCCUCCAAGCCUAAGUACUCGUGCAUGACCGAUAGCGAACUAGUACCGUGAGGGAAAGGUGAAAAGCACCCCGACAAGGGGAGUGAAAGAGUACCUGAAACCGAUUGCCUACAAACAGUGGGAGCCUGAAAUGGUGACCACGU
rnacentral:rRNA from 1 species